AUUGAACGCUGGCGGCAUGCUUUACACAUGCAAGUCGAACGGCAGCACGGGUGCUUGCACCUGGUGGCGAGUGGCGAACGGGUGAGUAAUGCGUCGGAACGUACCGAGUAGUGGGGGAUAACGCAGCGAAAGUUGUGCUAAUACCGCAUAUUCUGUGAGCAGGAAAGCGGGGGAUCUUCGGACCUCGCGCUAUUCGAGCGGCCGACGUCUGAUUAGCUAGUUGGUGGGGUAAUGGCUCACCAAGGCGACGAUCAGUAGCGGGGCUGAGAGGAUGAUCCGCCACACUGGGACGGAGACACGGCCCAGACUCCUACGGGAGGCAGCAGUGGGGAAUUUUGGACAAUGGGCGAAAGCCUGAUCCAGCCAUGCCGCGUGUCUGAAGAAGGCCUUCGGGUUGUAAAGGACUUUUGUCAGGGAGGAAAUCCUGCUGGUUAAUACCUGGCGGGGAUGACAGUACCUGAAGAAUAAGCACCGGCUAACUACGUGCCAGCCGCCGCCGUAAAAC
rnacentral:rRNA from 1 species